rnacentral:lncRNA from 1 species
CACAACCUGCCCAAGCUGGCACCAAGAUCUAGGACGUUGCAGCUUUCAGACCCAUGAGAAACAACUUUCUGUACUGAAACUACUCAGCCCGUGGUAUUUGUUAUCGUAGAAGGUUGGUCACCUUCAGUACAGCUUCCUGUCUGUGUCCUGGCUCCUCUGCUGUUUUCUACUGGCCCUGUCUGUCAGUGGCCCUGAUGCAAGCCCGAGGACCACCCAGAUAUGGGGCCGAGAUGCUGGCAUGGAGUCAGAAGAACCGGAUGAGGGACUCCCCUCUGCCUCUUCUUAACUGUGUGCCCCGGUAAGUCACUUUACCCUCUGAAUAGUUUCCUCCACUGUAAAAGGGUUGGAAGUGGGGAUUGAGAAAGAAUGUGGAGCUAAAAGCAUUCGACAAACCACACAGUGCUUUUCAGAAUAUCAGAGCCUCUGUGCAGCCCUCACCCGCUCUCCACUACUGCUGAGCUCUGCAAACCUGUUCAGAUUCCAGCUCUGUGACUCCACCUGCCAAGUGGGUCCCUGAGGAUGUCCUAGAAAGUACUUUCACCACCUCUCUAUGUUAACAGCUCAAAAUCUCCAGACACUUCUGAUUACCAGGUCUCUUUUGAGCACACGAUGGUUUUCUUCCUCAAAAUUCUUAAAAAGAAAAAAAAGAAUGCUUGAAAGGCAGUCGGGGCUGGCAGAAGUUGGACUCUCAUUGUCAGCUGAGGAAGGAGGCUGCGAAAGGAAAUGGGAAGAAAGCAGAUACACCGAUAGGCAAGCUGGUGUCCUUCCAGCACCAAAUUCCCAGGAGAAAAAGGAUCAACCAGAAGGCAACACACAGAUCAUUGUAACGAUUACAUAUGCAUCAGUCUGGUGGCCUCUGCCCAGCUGAGGGCUCACUUCCCUCCGGAAGCUGUGCACCAAAGCAGUCUGAUGCAGGAUCAACCAAAUGUGUGAUGUGCAUCACGCAGUGCUCUUAUGAGAGGAGUAAACAGUAUGACGAGCAAGCGGCUGUCAUUUGUCUCAAAAUGUCUCCAUUCUGAGAAUUGCAGACUGAAGAUAAGAGCUGUCAAUCAGCAGUCUUGAACAUUGUUAAUGCUGGCAAAGACUCUUUUCAAUCUUUUCUAAAGAAGAAAGCAAAAACUCCUGAGCCAGGUUCCUAACAUCAAAAUUGGUCCAAGAACUUAUCAAUCAAUCAAUCAAUCAAUCAAUCAAUUCAAUAAAUAUUUAUGGAUUGUCUACCAUGUGCUAGGCACUUUGGUAGGUGCCACAGAGAAUAUUGAACAAAAAGAUUCUUUCCUCUCUUGGAACUUGAACUUUAGGAAGUAGAUAACAAGGAUUAGCAGACUAUACCCCCCAGGUCAAAUCCAGUUUACCACCUGUUUUUGUAAAUAAAGU